GUGCAUAAAAACUCGCAGUGGACUUGAAGACGGGUUGACAGCUUGACAGGACGCCAACACUUUUGGAUUGUGUCAUAUGCAUUGAAAGUAGCAGUGUUUUCGUGAUAAUGGUGCCCGCAUCGCUUGUUUGCAUUGCAGCACGUCUGGAACCGGGGAGUUCAUUCAAGGGUAUAUUCCGUCCAAUUUCUGUCAUAGGAGCUGUGUCAACAGGAUAGUUGUUAAUCAGUGAGCCCCACUGGAGGCCAACCGAGACCUAAAGCUUUGGCUGCAGGGUGUCCGGGGACCACAGUUUGAGAAACACUGGAGUAAACGUCCUUCAUUUUCUGCAAUCAUUGUAAACAUGCACGACGUCUACAAAUCCUGGCCUCUAUUACCAAGCUCUUCAAUGGAGGCAACGUCGCAAGCGUCUGGCUGAUCCUGUGGUUGAGUUUCACCUGCGCCAUAACGCCCGUCCGCCGACCUUGGCAGGAAGAAGACGGCCUUCUGUGUCAGAUCCGCCUUGGGGCCCGCUUUAG